rnacentral:rRNA from 1 species
GCAAGUCGAACGGUAAGGCUCCUUCGGGAGUACACGAGUGGCAAACGGGUGCGUAACGCGUACGAAACAUACCUUUAUCAGGAGGAUAGCCCCGGGAAACUGGGAAUAAUACUCCAUAGUAUUAUUUAACCGCAUGGUUUGAAUAAUUAAAGCUCCGGCGGAUAAAGAUUGUCGUGCGUCCCAUUAGCUAGUUGGUGAGGUAAAGGCUCACCAAGGCGACGAUCAGUAUCUGGUUUGAGAGGACGACC